UGAGGAAUAUUGGGCAAUGCCCGAAAGGGUGACCCAGCAACGCCGCGUGGAGGAUGAAGGUCGUAAGAUUGUAAACUCCUGUUAGAGGGGAAGAAUAACUAAGUUUGGAGCUUAGUAUGACUGUACCCUCAGAGAAAGCCCCGGCUAACUACGUGCCAGCAGCCGCGGUAAUACGUAGGGGGCAAGCGUUGUCCGGAUUUACUGGGUGUAAAGGGCGCGCAGGCGGAAUGGAAAGUCAGUGGUGAAAUCCUACAGCUUAACUGUAGAACUGCCUUUGAUACUUUCAUUCUUGAGUUCAGGAGAGAGAGACGGAAUUCCAGGUGUAGUGGUGAAAUACGUAGAUAUCUGGAAGAACACCAGUUGCGAAGGCGGUCUCUUGGUCCGAUACUGACGCUGAGGCGCGAAAGCGUGGGGAGCAAACA
rnacentral:rRNA from 1 species